GCUCAGAGAGACACACGGCUGUCGUGUUGGUGAACUUGAGACAGAAAACGGAUCGAGAUAUCGAACAGAAAAUGGAUUUCAAGUCAUGAUCCCAGCCUGGCUGGGUUUUGGGGGUCUUUGAAUCACAAACUUUGACUCAAGCGCUUUUCUUUUUUCUUUUCUUUUCUUCUUUUACGCACCAGAUUUUUAGACGCCGAAAUCCACCCGCGGCAGAAACGACUCUUCUAGACAGACUCUGAUAGAUAUCUACCAAAAGAAGCAACGCGAGAAAUAACCCGCGCGCUCUCCUCUAAUCAGGGUUUCAACAAAAGAUGGAGAAACAGAAAAGUGACCACGGCUGUGGGCCCGAAGAGCGACACAGACAACACCGCGAACACAAGCAAACACAGCCGAGGAAUAAUUUACAAGCUGUUCGUUUGAGUCGGUGGACGUUUGUUCUUUUAUUAGCGCAUCACACAAGAACGAUUUGAAUGUCUUAAUUUCGUUUCUCUCAAGUAAGGAACUCCAUAAACUGCUACAAAUAAAGAUUAUUAUUAUUAUCAUCAUCAUUGAAGCGUUUGACGGCCAGACAAUUACUUUGAAUUAUUAGUAAUUAUUAUUGGCAACACUACUUUAAAUAAUCAAUAAUAAUAAUAAUAAUUCAGGAAAGCUUAAAAAAUGAAGUCUCGAUGAAUGCGUGCAGAUAAAACGACUUCUUCAAACUGCAGAGAAAAAAUCGAUCAUGCAGGCUGGUUAUAAUACUAUUCAUUAUGAUAAUAUAGUAUUUAUGACACAGCAUCCCUAAACAUUAUUAUGCAUUAAUAUCACCUUAGAGUCUUAAUGGUUUAUAUCAUCAAGGACUGAGAUUUCUAGACGGGACCUGGUUUUUUAAUGGCUGUUGGUACUCAUGGGACAUUUCCAUUAAAUCACACGAUUAUUACCAGGCUUGUAAAAAAUAUCACCAACAUUAUGUCAUUAUUACCAGUAGCAUAUAUCACUACAGACCACUGUUAGUAAUAUUUGCUUUUAUUAUAUAUUAUUCUACAUGUUUUCGUUUUAUCUGUAGCCAUUGUUUUUGGCCUUGUUUUUGAAAGAAAUGUUUUAAAACAAGAAUAAUAUUAAUGUCAACUUUAAAUCCCUCUAUUUAUUAGCAUUUCUAAGCAGCAUAUGCAACUAUUGAAUAAACGGUUUAUUACACACUAUAAUGUAGUUGUUAGCAGAUAUAAUUGUUUAUUAAUAUAUUUGUCAACAUAUAACUCCUCCUAGUGUGGGCACCCUGCUGUAUAAACAGUUAAUGGAUGACGACAUAAUAAAACACAGUUGCAGUAAUAUAAAAUAUUACAGGAGAAGUUAUAAUUGUUGACAAAAACUGCACAUUAAUAAACACUUAAAAAAAUCCAUCUUAAAUGUUUGCAUACAGCUUUUAAACGCUAAAGGAGGACUUAAAGUGUUAAUAAUAAUAAUAAUACUAUAUUUUAUUGUUAUAUUAAGCUUUAUUGUCAUUGCACAAACUAACUAACAAAGUGCAAAUAGAUCCACAGUUUGUAAAGAUGAAAGAACAGGAUGAACUAAUAUGGAGCGUGUCCAGUAUGAAGGGAUGGGACUGUGAUAAGCAGCAGACACCAGAUGUACAGCUCAGCUCAUGUGAACAGAAAAUAAAAAAUAAGAGUGAAAUUAAGAAGCAAGUUCUGUGUUCUGUGUGAAAAGAAGCAAUUGUGUACAAAUAAAUAUGUAAAUAUGAGUUAUA